rnacentral:rRNA from 1 species
CCUACGGGAGGCAGCAGUGAGGAAUAUUGGUCAAUGGGCGGAAGCCUGAACCAGCCAAGCCGCGUGCAGGAUGACGGCCCUAUGGGUUGUAAACUGCUUUUCUACGGGACUAACGCGCCUUACGUGUAGGGCGUUGCAUGUACUGUAUGAAUAAGGACCGGCUAAUUCCGUGCCAGCAGCCGCGGUAAUACGGAAGGUCCUGGCGUUAUCCGGAUUUGUUGGGUUUAAAGGGGGCGUAGGCCGCAUGUCAAGGGUACGGUGAAAUGUCCGGGCUUAACCCGGGCCUUGCAGCGAGAACUGGCGUGCUUGAGUGCGCGGAAGGCAGGCGGAAUUCGUGGUGUAGCGGUGAAAUGCUUAGAUAUGACGAAGAACCCCGAUUGCGAAGGCAGCUUGCUGCAGCGGAACUGACGCUGAUGCUCGAAAGCGUGGGUAGCGAACAGGAUUAGAUACCCUAGUAGUC